AGUGAACGCUGGCGGUAGGCCUAACACAUGCAAGUCGAACGGCAGCACAGUAAGAGCUUGCUCUUACGGGUGGCGAGUGGCGGACGGGUGAGGAAUACAUCGGAAUCUACUUUUUCGUGGGGGAUAACGUAGGGAAACUUACGCUAAUACCGCAUACGACCUACGGGUGAAAGCAGGGGAUCUUCGGACCUUGCGCGAUUGAAUGAGCCGAUGUCAGAUUAGCUAGUUGGCGGGGUAAAGGCCCACCAAGGCGACGAUCCGUAGCUGGUCUGAGAGGAUGAUCAGCCACACUGGAACUGAGACACGGUCCAGACUCCUACGGGAGGCAGCAGUGGGGAAUAUUGGACAAUGGGCGCAAGCCUGAUCCAGCCAUACCGCGUGGGUGAAGAAGGCCUUCGGGUUGUAAAGCCCUUUUGUUGGGAAAGAAAAGCAGCAGGUUAAUACCCCGCUGUCCUGACGGUACCCAAAGAAUAAGCACCGGCUAACUUCGUG
rnacentral:rRNA from 1 species